UUGAGGAAAAAAUCGGGACAAGCCCGAGCUCUCCCUUCCCCUUUCUUUUUCUUUCGCCGCCGGCCUUUCUCCACCAAAAUUGACGUCGUCCGGCCACCCCCGUGCGCACCGCUCACCAUGGCAUGAUCCUUCCUCCCUCCUUUUCCUAGAUAUCUCGUUUUGAUCGGUGGAGGAAGAUUUGAAGGUGUUUGAGACUGUGAACAGUACCGUGAACAGUAUCUUCCGAAUUCUUGGGUUCUUGUUUGAUUUUUCCGGACUUUUCUACUUGAAUUUGGUUGUUGUUGCAGGUAUAUAUAGGAACUGUUAGAUUUAAUCUAUGAAUUUUGUGUUAGAUUUAAGGUUGUUUGGAUAGUGAGUUUCCUUGGAGUUUUGAUGUUGGAUGUGGUUCUAAGGGUGUUAAGAUUUUAAUCUUGAGUUGAGAUUGUUGAGGGGUUGGAGAAGUAAAAUGGGUUUCGAAUGUCAAAAGAGAAAUUGGAAAUUUGGAAGAAAAUGUUUUGUUGUAAACUUGUUGGCAAAUUGUUGGUGGAGAAAUUUGAGAAUGAAUUUGGAAAUUGUGAAAAGGGAAUUAUUUUAUAAAAUGGUGGUUAAGUAUAGUUAAGGAGUUGGAAUUAGAUUGGUCAAGUUGUUGAGCGAUUCUUGUGAAGGUUGAAGGAAAUUCUAAAAUUGGAGAAUUUGAUUGUUAGAGGAAUUUUGGGUAGUGAGUAUUAUAUUUUUCAAAGGAUUAAGCUUUGUUUAUUAGAUUACUUCCUUAUUGAGGUUAACUUUAUCCUGUCAAUUAUUACAGGACGUACUGAGCCCUCGAGCGAGGAGGACACGGGCAGGCAGCAGGUUUAGCUGCGGGACUCACUUAUUUCAGAUUUGCUGAGAUCGAGUCCAGGCUCUAGAGACUUUGGAAUCAGCGCUUCCGUUUUGUCCGUAGGUUAUUACCCUUCCUUGUAUGAUAUCGGCUUAGUUAUUAGUGUUGCUCUGAUAACCCUUUUUAAUUUGAUGGAUGUUUUUGUUCGGAUUGAUGUUGUUUCGGAGGUUAUGUUGGGAUUUGAACUUUCCGAAUGUAAUAUAUGUGCUUGGAAUGUAAAUAUGGUAUGGUGGGUUGAGUAGAAGUUAAAGUUUUAAUCAUGUCCAAGUUUGUGAACUUUUUGGGUAGCCCAUAUUUAGGGGAGGUUCUGCCGAUUUUUCGGUAGGAUUUCGCUUAAUGUGGGCCCCGCAAGCUCGUAUCCAGGACUACGGGGUGUUCUUGGGUCGGGUCCUGUCAUGGUGGUUGCUGAAUUGGGUACAGCGGCGACGUGCUUGCUGGCUGCGCGGGGUCUGCUACAAAGUUCGGCGUUCGAGGGGUGUAGCAGGCCUAGUCUUCAGCGGUCUUUGCUUGAGAUGGAGAUGUACGGUUGGAAAAGCCGGCCGCCUGAGCUAUUCAACUGGUGCGCCGUCGGGGACGACGGUGGUGGCAAAGGAGCAGCGAGCAGUGAUGCUUCUCCUAUGUUGGCUUGGGUUUGGGUCUCUGGGCCUGGGCUCAACCUUGGGCUGAUGGAGCAAGGGACUAUUCCUGCUAGGCUAGUUUUGAAUUGGGCUUGGGCUCAAGUCAAGGCAACCUAGGCCCUAAUGUAUUAGGGUAUGAGCCUGUGUGAGGUUGGAUUAACUUCUAUGACGUUUCUAGUCACUUGCUUAUACCACAAUUGCGUGAUUAGCAGGUGGGAAAUAGUUGAAUGAUUUCUUUUCCAUAGGAGGCUAGGUUUUUUUCAUUCUUGUAUAGGCUCGCUUAAAUGUGAGCGUCCCAGAGAUUAUAAUGAUCUGCUCUAGCUUAGAUAGUUUAGUUCGGAUUUUCUUGCCGAGUUUUGCUUAUGUAAGUUAUUGUAGACUCUAGCCUAUUGGCUGUUGAUCUAUGAAAUCAGCUUCUAUUUCAAAAAA